UCAAGGCAAGGCUGUUCCUACUAUUAGAUAGAUGGAGGCAACUACCAGUCUCCAUACAUUUUUCCUGGGCAACAUGUCAAUAUUCCUUCUCCUACUACAUAGCCUGUCUUCAUCUCUUAAACCAGGUCGGUGCCAGCAAAGAGAUAAGAUUCAAAUGGCAGCUUCUCUAUGUGGCUGACUUCUGUACAUGGAAUGGAGAGAAGAACCAUUUUGUCCUUUGGGAAAGGCUAUAAAAUAUCUUAUUCAAGUCCUAUCUAAGCUUUAUAUUAUAACAGGAAAAUUUCACCACUACAAUACAUUUUGGCCCCACUUCCAGUGAACAAUGGUGUGCAGAUUAGUUGUGACUGGGCUGGACACAUCAUCCUUAAGUGCUUCAUAUAUCAACGACACAGAACUCUACACCUUGGUGCAGCUAGCUGGAUGUUAAGUUUCUCCCUUUUCUUAAGUGCACACAAACCGUCAGUGAAGAGAUUGCUUCAUGCUAAUGAUCGGGUGGACAGCACUAGAAGCCCCUGCCAGGUCUUGAAAGUCGCCAGGUGGUGGUGAAUGUGGAGUUACACACACAGGAGAUGCUGGAAGACAUUAGAGCUUUAUGAAGGUGCCAAGGAAGAGCCUGUAGAAGGGAAGGAAGAGUUUUUAAAAGGUUUUCAUAUCAGAUCCAGAGGACUGUUAUUAGGAGCAGAAUUUGGUUGCCUGAAGGCUACAUAUUUCCUGCAGAUAGAAUGAAUGAUUCAGGAAGGACUCAUCCCGCACUUUCUACAAGACAUGAUGAAAGAAUUCAAAUCAGCCACAUUGGAGGAAAAAUCUCACUCUGUAAUUGUUUCAUACCUCCAAACAUCUGCACUAUGCUGAAUUCUUAUGUAAAAUCUAACUGAAAUUAAAUAACUUUAUAUUCUUA